UGACCCGGACGUGAUUUGAACACGCAGCCUUCUGAUCCUUAGUCAGACGCGCUACCGUUGCGCCAACGAGUC